UUCAGACGAAAAAUGGCGGGGUCUUCUGAGUUGGUGGUCCUUGACCCCCCAUGGGACAAGGAGCUAGCGACGGGGACAGAGAGUCAGGCCUUGGUCUCCGCCACUCCCCGAGAGGACUUUCGGGUGCGCUGCACCUCGAAGCGGGCUGUGACCGAAAUGCUACAACUGUGCGGCCGCUUUGUGCAAAAGCUCGGGGACGCUCUGCCGGAGGAGAUUCGGGAGCCCGCGCUGCGAGAUGCGCAGUGGACUUUUGAAUCAGCUGUGCAAGAGAAUAUCAGCAUUAAUGGACAAGCAUGGCAGGAAGCUUCAGAUAAUUGUUUUAUGGAUUCUGACAUCAAAGUACUUGAAGAUCAGUUUGAUGAAAUCAUAGUAGAUAUAGCCACAAAACGUAAGCAGUAUCCCAGAAAGAUCCUGGAAUGUGUCAUCAAAACCAUAAAAGCAAAACAAGAAAUUCUGAAGCAGUACCACCCUGUUGUACCUCCACUGGACCUAAAAUAUGACACUGAUCCAGGUUCCAUUUUUUUUUGAGACAGGCUGAAGCCACCCAGGCUGAAGUGCAGAGUCCUUGCCUGCAUUAAUUGAAAAAGGAGAGGGAUUUUCCCAAGUUCUCAGGAUGCAGCCUGUUAUCCACCUCCAGAGGAUUCACCAAGAAGUCUUUUCCGGUUGUUAUAGGAAACCAGAUGCUAAACCUGAGAACUUUAUAACACAGAUAGAAACCACACCAACAGAGACUGCUUCCAGGAAAACCUCUGACGUGGUACUGAAAAGAAAGCAAACUCAAGACUGCCCCCAGAGAAAAUAGUAUCCAUUGCGGCCAAAGAAAAUUAAUCUUGAUACAUGAGCUCUUUCUGUUUAUUUUGGGAGUUGAAAAUAGGCGCCAUCAACAUUUAGAUUACAGCCUAAUACCUAGAUAAGACUUCAUUUGAAACAAGAAAUAACUCUUUUACUAGUGAUUCAUUUAUACAAAUAUAGUGUCUCUGUGCAGGGAUAUGAUAUAAUAUUAUAUUUCCUUGCUGUUUUAUCUAUUGUAAAUAAAAAGCAUUUUAAAAAAUAUUGACACAAAGCCCAUCAGUGGGUAUUAAAAAUAUUAAAAGUGCAGCCUUUUACUGUCCUUAAGUGCUAUCAACUCUCAGCUCCCUUGUAGCUUUUGUGGGAUUUAACAAGUAACAAAUUCUGUUGUGUUUCCCUGGUAUACAUCUUUCCAGGAAAAAAAAAAAAAGAGAGAGAGAGCUGUAUAAUGAUUUUUCAUUUACGUACUGAAAAGUAGUUAUCAGUUCUGCGCAGCAGCAGAUGCAGUGUUUUUUUUUAAGAUGUAGUGUGAUUUAGCAAAUUAAUGUGCAGAUGAUAAUACUGGCUUUGACUUUGUUACUCCAUGUUCAGCUCAUUUAGGUUUGUGAGAUUAAUUUUAGGACUUUUUGUUGUGUAAGACAAUGAUGACUAUUAUUUGUGCAACAUUACUCUUUGAAAUAAAAAUUGGCAUGUAGCCAAUGUUUCCUGCCC